AGUCCGGCUUUGAAUUUAGAAUCGAGAACAUCAUCGAAACAGGACGGGACAGUCGAAAUUCAAGUAGUUCAAUCAAAAUGUGAUUUGUUACGUUUUUAUACGAGUUUGGCGAUAUCUUCAUUAGCAUAAAAUAUGGAUUUUCUACAUCUUUUGGACAAGUCAAGUACCAUUCUAUUUAUCAAGCCGGGCUCACAAUUUUGGCCCUCAUCGAGACGAAAAACAAACAAAAUUAAACAUUUAAGCUGGAAACACACUAGUAUGGACAAAAUUACUGUUAUGUAGCUUUACUCAAAAAAAUAACCUUUUUUAAUUUAUUUCAACCUCAUAAAACUGACGCUCUAUAUCUCUAAAACUGAACAGAAUAGAGAACAAAAUGACCCAAAAUGACGACAAAAAGGAGACAACCAAAAUAAAAAUAAAGGAAGAUAUCAACAGAGUUUAAAAUAGUCGAAUGAAUCAAAUUAAACACCGUUCAAGAA